rnacentral:lncRNA from 1 species
GAAGUAUUGGCUUUCAAGCAGCAUGGAGCCAAACCUAAGUUCGGUAACAAAUUCAUUAGGGAAUCAAUGGCUGAUCACUUGGCUGAUCUACUAGGAGAUCUGGAACAACCCAGACGGAAGCAGGCUCUCCUCAACUACUGCCCUUUAAAGAUGUAUAGUCGAUCCUUGUUAUUUGUGAAUUCCGCAUUUGUCAAUUUGCCUACUCACUAAAAUCUUGUAACCUCUCAAAUCAAUACUCAUGGUGCUUUGCAGUCAUUCAUAGACAAGCUUAGAGUGGCCUGAAAAAAUUUAGUUGCCCAAGAUACAUGUCCAACAUGAGGCCACACAAGGAAAGGCUCUGAUUUCUCAGUUCAGCUCUCAUACUGGACGUACGUAUCCUUUUUGCAGUCUACUUAAUGCCACAAUAUUUGCAUUUUUGCACUCUUUGUUGGUGAUUUCACUAUUUAAAAUAGUCCCUGAGCCUAGUGCUAGGGCUGAAGUGCUGUUCAGCAUUCCUAAACACAAAGCUGAUAUGCCCUAGAGAUAACAGGUUUCAUUAACAUAUGAAUUAUGUUAACUCAUGGCUAUUGGCCAUGAGUUCAAUGCUAAUGAUUCAACAUGACAUCAGGGAUCUUGAAACAAAACCACACAUUAUAUAAGUUUACCUGUUGACGAGAUAACGAAAACGCUCUAACUAGAAGCUCACAGGAACCUCACCUCUAAAUUCCCCUAGAAGCAAUGGCUCAGUAUUCUCCAACUCUGUGUCCAAAGCAAUUUUAUGGAAUGUAACUAUUCCCAUAAUGAGAAUGAACAGUAUUUCCUGUGACCAUGAAAAAAAAGAAGUCUUUAUAGAGGUCUCUAAACCAGUUCUCAAAGAGUUAAGAGAGACAGUAUUAAAAAUGCGUUGGACAGUUUGAAGUCUGACAGUUGGACAAAGUCACUGCUAAAGACUGAGACUAAGGAUGAGAUGGGAGAUUAUUGCUUUCCAAAACAAACCAUUAUGCAUUACUGGAUUUUUCUAAACCAUAGUUUGCUUAAACCAUCACUAUAAAUUUAUAGGGGGAGAAGGAAAAAACUUAAUUCAUCACUUAAAUAUCUUUUCACCCCUGCCCUUUGAGUUCCAAGAAACAUAAAUCAUUUUAAUCCUGAUUAAGAGACACUGUUCACUUCGGUUUCUUGAUCUACAAAAUGAGAAAGAUAAUAGUACCUCUCUUAUGGUUCCUAUAUGCACUAAAUGAAGUCAUGUAUAUGAAGGAAUUAGCACCAUCCCAUUAGGAUGUAAGCCAGAGCUGUGAGGAAGGCACAGUGUAAACUGAACAGGAUGGGGUAGGAGGACCAUUGUCUCUGAAGGCUUAACUCUGGGCAGAACCUCUCAGGCCAUCAAAGUAUGUUCCCAGCUGACUCCACUGAUAUCCUCCUCAUGGCAGCCUUUUGGUUUGGGUUAUCAUCUUUGAUUUUUCUGAAGUCCUUAUCUGCCUCAAUCCAUUAUAACCAGAAGAUAAUGUUUAGGAGCAUGAGAUGUGAGCUCACACAGAUCUGGGUUUGUAUUCUGACUCAAACAUGUACUAGCUGUGUGAUCUGGUGCAAGUUUGUCAACCUCUCUGAGCCUCAGGGUCCUCAACUCCCUGAAGCCCAGUGUCCUCAUCGGGAAUAGAAGGAUAGUAUAUGCCUUAAAUUUUUCAUUUAAUCUUCCUAAGAGUUUAUUAGUCAAGAUCUUCUGAGAAGCAGAUGACAAGUCAUAAUUAAAUGAGUAAGGAAUUUAUACUAAUGGAGAAUACUGUCAACUGGGCAAAGAGUUUCUGUUUGAAAUGAUGGAAAAACUGGAAAUAUGACAACGGAUGUACAACACUGUGAAUAUAAUUAAUGCCACGGCAUCAUGCACUUUAAAAUGUUUCAGCGGCAAAUUUUAUGUUAUAUAUUUUACCGCCAUUUGUAAGAAAUGAACUUACGAGGGGAAGCACCUAUACAACAAAAUGGGAAGGGACUUGCAAGAGGCUGGGAGAACCAUCAGACUACAACGCAGGUAGGACCUCAAGUGAAGAAAAGAAAGGAAGAUUGGCUGGAAAGGCCUUAGACUACAGUGCACUUCUAAGAAGAGCUCUUAAGACCAGUAAUGGGCCUCCUAAGAACCAUUGCAACGCCUCAGCCAGUUGGGAGCAGCCCAUGGGAAGCAUGUUGUUGGCACGAAGUCAUUGAUGGAUUUCAGAGCGCAGCAGCUAGGGCCAUUAGUUAUUCAUGUCUUUUGUACCUACAGAUCUGCGAGGCACACUCUCAUGGCUGGACUAUCACCAGGAUCCUCCAUGUCAAGGUACUUAGCAUGAAAAGAAAGCGGAGAGUAAAAGUAGUGGUAAUUUCUAUACUGAUCAUCAAUAUCAUUGUCAAUUAUCAUCUUGACCUUUAUCUCACUAAAGUUUCUUGAAAGUAACAUGCAACCAAUUCAAGUUAAAUCAUUUCCAACAUUUUGUGCCAGUUGUAGUAAGGCUUAUUGAUUGUGAUACUCAUUGUACUGCAUUGUAAACAUUAGAGUUAUUAAACCUGGAGUUCCCAUUGUGGUGCAGUGGUUAACGAAUCCGACUAGGAACCAUGAGGUUGCGGGUUUGGUCCCUGCCCUUGCUCAGUGGGUUAACGAUCCGGCGUUGCCGUGGGCUGUGGUGUAGGUUGCAGAUGCGGCUCGGAUCCCGCGUUGCUGUAGCUCUGGCAUAGGCCAGCGGCUACAGCUCCGAUUCAACCCCUAGCCUGGGAACCUCCAUAUGCCACGGAAGCGGCCGAAAGAAAUAGCAAAAAGACCAAAAAAAAAAAAAAAA